GAGUUAGUCUCGAAUGGUGACCAGCGGAGGGAUCAUUACAGAGUUAUCCAACUCCCAAACCCAUGUGAACUUAUCUCUUUGUUGCCUCGGCGCAAGCUACCCGGGACCUCGCGCCCCGGGCGGCCCGCCGGCGGACAAACCAAAACUCUUGUUAUCUUAGUUGAUUAUCUGAGUGUCUUAUUUAAUAAGUCAAAACUUUCAACAACGGAUCUCUUGGUUCUGGCAUCGAUGAAGAACGCAGCGAAAUGCGAUAAGUAAUGUGAAUUGCAGAAUUCAGUGAAUCAUCGAAUCUUUGAACGCACAUUGCGCCCAUUAGUAUUCUAGUGGGCAUGCCUGUUCGAGCGUCAUUUCAACCCCUAAGCACAGCUUAUUGUUGGGAACCUACGGCUUCGUAGUUCCUCAAAGACAUUGGCGGAGUGGCAGUGGUCCUCUGAGCGUAGUAAUCUUUUAUCUCGCUUCUGUUAGGUGCUGCCCCCCCGGCCGUAAAACCCCCAAUUUUUUCUGGUUGACCUCGGAUCAGGUAGGAAUACCCGCUGAACUUAAGCUUAAAGGGG
rnacentral:rRNA from 1 species